rnacentral:rRNA from 1 species
UACGUAGGGCGCAAGCGUUAUCCGGAAUUAUUGGGCGUAAAGAGCUCGUAGGUGGUUUGUUACGUCUGCUGUGAAAACCUAGGGCUUAACCCUGGGCCUGCAGUGGAUACGGGCAGACUAGAGGUAGGUAGGGGAGAAUGGAAUUCCCGGUGUAGCGGUGAAAUGCGCAGAUAUCGGGAGGAACACCGGUGGCGAAGGCGGUUCUCUGGGCCUUACCUGACACUGAGGAGCGAAAGCGUGGGGAGCGAACAGG